UCAAAGGCUCUUUUCAGAGCCACCCACAAAUUCCAUAAAAAGAGCU
rfam:Gavia stellata contig34055, whole genome shotgun sequence.